GGUGGCUCAGUGGUAGAGUGCUUGCCUAGUAUGCAUGAGGCCCUGGGUUCGAUUCCUCAGUACCA
rnacentral:tRNA from 1 species